UACGGGGGGAGCAAGCGUUGUCCGGAAUCAUUGGGCGUAAAGCGCGUGUAGGCGGCCAGAAAAGUCCGCUGUGAAAACUCGAGGCUCAACUUCGAGCUGUCGGUGGAAACUUUCUGGCUAGAGUCCGGAAGAGGAGAAUGGAAUUCCUGGUGUAGCGGUGAAAUGCGCAGAUAUCAGGAAGAACACCCGUGGCGAAGGCGGUUCUCUGGGACGGUACUGACGCUGAGACGCGAAAGCGUGGGGAGCAAACAGG
rnacentral:rRNA from 1 species